AGAAAUUCAUCAUUUGAAACACAGUAGAGGCUGCAGCAGUCAGGGACAUUUCUGAAGUGAGGAUCUUUGAUGCCUAGGUGCUACCCAAGCCAUAUAUGAAGCUACCUUAAUAUGUGAGUUGUGCCAUUCACAGCAAAGUAGUUAGAAAUCAAUCUCAUGAAGGCUGCUAGGACUGAAUACCCACACCUCCAUUUCGACCUGCAGGCGUUGCCCCAUGACUCCCACUAAAACCCGUUAA
rnacentral:lncRNA from 1 species